rnacentral:rRNA from 1 species
UACGUAGGGGGCAAGCGUUGUCCGGAAUCAUUGGGCGUAAAGCGCGCGUAGGCGGCCCGGUAAGUCCGCUCUGAAAGUCCAGGGCUCAACCCUGGAAAGCGGGUGGAUACUGCCGGGCUAGAAUCCGGAAGAGGCGAGUGGAAUUCCCGGUGUAGCGGUGGAAUGCGCAGAUAUCAGGAGGAACACCAAUAGCGAAGGCAGCUCGCUGGGACGUUACUGACACUGAGGCGCGAAAGCGUGGGGAGCGAACAGG